AGUUGGCUUGUCAGAUAUAUGAAGAGGCGAAAAAGUUUGCAUAUCAAACCGUUGUGAAGGUUGCUGUUGCAUAUGGUGGUGCGCCAUUUGGUCAGCAGUUGGCAUCGCCACCUCGCUGCCCUGCCGAGACUGUGUCCGGCGGCAUCACGAAUCUAUUGUUGAAGGUUUCUGUGAAAGAAGAAAGCGGAAAUGAGGAAUCCAUUACCGUCAGAUUGUAUGGGCC